AUAAUGAUACUUGCGUCCAGUCCUAAAGUCGAGCGUUGAAGCGGCCGAAAGCCGUGAGCCGUCGCAACAAAGGAGGGCGCCUCGGAGAGAUCCUCGGAGGGGUGAGAUUCCCAUGA
ncrna:unclassified sequences pemK RNA